UCCUACGGGAGGCAGCAGUGAGGAAUCUUGCGCAAUGGGCGAAAGCCUGACGCAGCCACGCCGCGUGCCGGAUGAAGGCCCUAUGGGUUGUAAACGGCUUUUAAGCAGGAAGAACGACCGGAUUUCGAUCUGGUGUGACGGUACUGCUUGAAUAAGCACCGGCUAACUCCGUGCCAGCAGCCGCGGUAAUACGGAGGGUGCAAGCGUUGUCCGGAAUCAUUGGGUGUAAAGGGUGCGUAGGCGGGCGUCUAAGUCUGGGGUGAAAUCUUGCCGCUUAACGGUAAAAUGGCCUUGGAUACUGGGCGUCUUGAGUGUAGAAGAGGUAAGUGGAAUUCGUAGUGUAGCGGUGAAAUGCAUAGAUAUUACGAAGAACAUCAGUGGCGAAGGCGGCUUACUGGUCUACAACUGACGCUGAGGCACGAAAGCGUGGGGAGCGAACAGGAUUAGACACCCUGGUAGUCCACGCUGUAAACGAUGCAUACUAGGUGUUGGCCUUUCGGGGCCAGUGCUGCAGUUAACGCAUUAAGUAUGCCACCUGGGGAGUACGUCGGCAACGAUGAAACUCAAAUGAAUUGACGG
rnacentral:rRNA from 1 species